AUACCUUUCUCGGCCUUUUGGCUAAGAUCAAGUGUAGUAUCUGUUCUUAUCAGUUUAAUAUUUGAUAUGUGAGUCAUCGACUCACACGAUAUUAACUCAAUUUUUUAAGAGGGAAGGCUCAUCAUGGUAGCUUGCUACUUGGGCAUUCGUCGCCCAUGUGUUGCACUAUUGCAUGGGCCUGGCGCACUCCAC
rnacentral:snRNA from 1 species